UCAAGCAUGGAUGAUAUAUGGAGUUGCAGUGAUGGUUACUUUUCAUAGCUAUUUUUAUUUUCGUAUUCCAGUAUCUGCAUGAAAUGAAGCUUGUUGUGAAACGUUAGUGUAAAUGAAACAUCUGCUGGAUAAUUUGGAAGACUGAAUAAACCUUGAUUUGAUUCAUUUGAGAAGAAGGAUCAACUUCCUCAUAUCCUGGGGAAACAUUUAAUUGCGUUAGUCUACCUUAAGUGCCAUUCAAAGUUUCUCAAUGCUUUUUGCCUGUUGAACUAGAACUCUUCCUAAGACUUUUCUUUUUUCUUUCUUCUUUUUUUUUUUUUUUUUUUUUUCUUGUCCUGAAGUUUUUGAUCAUCAUCUUUUGAAUUUCACCAUUCAAAUUUGUCAUAAUGAACUGUGGAUCCGACAGGUUUGGCAGUAGUGAUUUCUGAAAUGAGUUUUCAUGGUAAUAAUUUGAUGAAAAAACCUUCUUACACUAUAUACACAAGGAGAGAAUGAUCGCUUGGGAAUAAUUGCAUUCCUUGUUCUUAAUCCAAAGGCCCAUGGGCAGAAUCUGACAAACUAUCACUCAUUGUGGAUCUGGCGAAGUAAACAUGAAACCGAUGUUUUUAGUAUGUUCACCAGUUAAAGCUGAUGGACUCAAAAUGUAGGUUAUCUGCCAAACCAGAUGAACAGAUAGCUGCAACUUCUUGCCUCAUCUUUCUUGGGCCACUGACAAGAACUCCAACGCUAGAUCCUGCACACUCAGAUAUCAUUCCUGCAGGGGAGAAAAAUGAAAUUUAUUUCAGAAGGGCUUAGAAACUGAAAAUAAUUUGCAAUUGGGAAUGUUACUGAUGGUUUUUUGGGAGAUGAAGAAAAGGGAAGAAGGUGAAGAUUCACACAAUGCUGUGUGGCGACAAAACUCGGUCUUGAAAUAAUACAUUGGCAACUUUGUUUUGUACCUUCUUCCUUUUUUUGGUUGUGUGGUGUGUGCCUUCAUUUUUUUUUUUAAUAGUAUUCUUCCAUAGUCUUUUGUUGAGUAUAAAUAUCACUUCAUAAACUAUUGUAUUGUGCAAUAAAAAGUCUUCUGAAAUCAUUAAACGGAUAUCGAAUGUUAAUCUUACUUCUUAGGUUGGGUCUUUCACCAUAGUGCACCUUGGUUGCUUCGACAAAAGACUGGUGUGGAAAGGCUUCCAACUCUCUAUCUGCAUUGUAAAACCAUGAGCCUGGUGAUGUGGUUGGUGUUGGUGCGGCCGUGUUUUGGAUCUGCCUCAUUUCCUUGGUUGCCUGUUUUUUGUUCCAAAGAAAAGCUGCAGUUGCAGGCAUGGAUAUGGAGACACACAUGAGUAACAUGUUUAGAGCAGAUCUUGCAGAGUAGGAGUAGAUCAUGUUAGUGUUAUGGUCAAUUGGUUGUAUAUAGUAUCGUGUAAGAAUGCCGAUUAUCAGAAGAAAAAUGAUGAAAGAAGAUGACAUGAUUGUUCCAAGCCACAGCCAGCUAUUUGGGCCUAAAAUGGCAGAAACUGGUACAUCCAAUGUGUUGGGCUUGAAGUUGAACCAUAUGGUUCUAAGGAGUUUCUGGUUUUCUCUUGUGGGCUCUGUUUCUCUUGUUACAUACACUUCAAUUUGUAAUUGCAACUGAGAAAUAUCAGAGGUUGUGCCUGAAACCGGGAGGAGGAGGUCUAGCAUGGCGACAUCCAGAGAUUUCUUGAAAGCAGAAAUGAGAAGAACCCUUGGAGUCUUGCUGCUCAUUCUGUUGGCUCUGAAGAGGAGCUCACGGAUGAUGGAGAUGAAAGGAGUAAUGCCACUUCCUCCACUCACCAUCACAAGCAUGUAAUGCCUGCACCAUAUUUUUCUCCAUCUUAAUCAAAGGAUCUGUAUUACUGUUUGAGGUGAUUGUAAAAGGAUGCCAUUGCAGCUUGGAAAUGCUAGGCACAUUUAUAAAGAGGGUGCUUGUUGGAGUAUAGUUCAGCCCUGAGAAGUUCAACUCAACAGCUUCACAAGGUAAAAGGCGGGCUGCAACCAAGCGAACCCUUUGUUGGGAUUGUAAGAAUCGCAAGUAUCGGUCUAUCAAGAAAAGGUAGAAACCUGGAAGCAUGAUGCAGGAGUAGGAGAUGCCCACAUGUAACACGAAAAAGACGAUGAAAAGGAUGUACAGAUGAUGGGUAUAAAAGAAGAGCUCAAAGAUCUUCUGCCUUAUACGAGGGAAGCUUGUUGCCCACAUGGCUAAUCCAGAUAGUAAGGCAAGCUCUCCAGCCACAUUGGAGACCCCGAUCUCAUCCCAUGUGAGCAUCUGCAGUUCCGGAAAAACAGUGAGGAGCUAGCAAAUGUAACAUAGUCUGAAUCGUAUACCAGCCCAAAAGAUAAUGUAACAUAAGCCAUGGGCAGUGAAGAGCGUCAUGACAAUGUGACCGAGCCAGAUAUGAUACUUGAUGCUUGACUCAGAUGUAAGGCCGAUGAGCCGCAAAACAGAAGAUCCUCGUGUCACUGGAAAGAACAGAAAGGCUAGGCAAAUGUUCCCAACAAGGCCUAGCAUCAGAGCUGCACUUUCUAACUUGGCUUCCCACCUGCCAAUUCCUCAAUGAAUGUAUGAAAAGAUUGGCGGGUGAUAUUUGCAAACAUACCGUGCAAAUAAGCUGAAACAGACCAAACCAAGAGGACAAAGAACAUGGAUAAAAAGGAUAGCUCUAUCCAAGAAACAAUCCCCAGAGUGCCCUUCACGAGCACAGGUCGUUUCCAUAAAGCCCAUCGAGAAUUUUCAGCUAUGUCAUGAUCAACACAUUUCUUUCCUAAGUGGAGAUAUAAACAGCCCAAAGUAGCAAUGAGUAGGACCGGAAACGUAUAAAUGAGGAAGUUGGCACCUGUACCACACAAGAAGAAAGCAGCUAAAAGUGAACACUCUUUUUGAGCUAAUUUCUUCAGUCUGGAGUAUAGAAAAGGCACCAAACCUUGUUGUCCAAAAUACUUGGAAUCAGUUUUUGCAUGGAUGUCAGGCAACCAAUGCAGCCAAAACGUGUUGGUGGGCAUCAUGAUCCAUACCAUAAUGUAGCCAAGAAAGGCUGCCAUUACAAACAACCUGAUCACCGAUCGAAGAGCAUCAACUCCUACCCAACAGGACGUUCCUCCUAUCACCUUUGGAUCCAUAUCUCCUCUCUUGUUGCAAGGGUCUUGGUAUAGGCUACCUUAAUAUAUUAGCCAAAGGUUCCCACAAAAACAUGCUCAUAGAUUUGACCAAAAAUUAUAGCAGUCCAAUUGGGGUCCAGUUCACAUAUAAAAUUUGUUUUGCCUGCCCGAUUGUGGGUGAAAUCCAUAAAAAUUUGACUGCUAUAUGGGAGGCACCAAUAUGCCACAGUUAUGGCCUUCUCUUGUUGUUCCUUCCAUCCUAUGUUCAUGCAACAUGCUCUAUUUUAUUAAUGUUUUCUGUCACCUUCUAGCUUUGGAAAACAAGUACCCAGCUGCUGCAAGUUGUACUCUUUUUUCCCCCUUGCGUAUGGAAUAUGAUUUAGAAAAAAGUAUUUGAAUUUAGGUGAAGACUGGUUGUUGAAUGCUAACAUGGACUCAGUGAUUUGUAU